rnacentral:rRNA from 1 species
AACGAACGCUGGCGGCGUGCCUAACACAUGCAAGUCGAACGAGAAAGGGGCUUCGGCUCCGAGUAAAGUGGCGCACGGGUGAGUAACACGUGGGUAACCUGCCUUUAAGUUUGGGAUAACCUGUCGAAAGACGAGCUAAUACCGAAUAAGACCACAGAUUCCCUGGAAUCCGAGGUCAAAGAUAGCCUCUACAUGUAAGCUAUCGCUUAGAGAUGGGCCUGCGUACCAUUAGCAGUUGGUAGGGUAACGGCCUACCAAGGCUAAGAUGGUUAGCUGGUCUGAGAGGAUGAUCAGCCACACUGGAACUGAGACACGGUCCAGACUCCUACGGGAGGCAGCAGUGGGGAAUCUUGCGCAAUGGGCGAAAGCCUGACGCAGCGACGCCGCGUGAGGGAUGACGGCCU